rnacentral:rRNA from 1 species
UACGGAGGGGGCUAGCGUUGUUCGGAAUUACUGGGCGUAAAGCGCACGUAGGCGGCCUGUUAAGUCGGGGGUGAAAUCCUUGGGCUCAACCUCAGAAUUGCCUCCGAUACUGGCAGUCUCGAGUGCGGGAGAGGUGAGUGGAAUUCCCAGUGUAGAGGUGAAAUUCGUAGAUAUUGGGAAGAACACCAGUGGCGAAGGCGGCUCACUGGCCCGUAACUGACGCUGAGGUGCGAAAGCGUGGGGAGCAAACAGG